rnacentral:precursor_RNA from 1 species
UAGGAGGAUUGCUUGAGCUCAGGAAUUUUGGGUUGUAGUGCGCUAUGC